CUCUGAGUUAUCAUUCUGGAGAAAGACAGCAAGCCAGAGGACAGUGGGGAGGUUUAUUCAAACACUUUGGAUAUUUAACAAUCAUCUCUGCAAAGACUGGAAGCACUGAAGACCAUGGCACGUCUGAUUCAUCUAUCAUUACUGCUAGCAGUGAGCCAGCUGCCCUGUGUUUCAGCCAUACGAGACUUUCCAGAUGGAGGAAUCAAAUUUACUCCCUAUCAUCUGUGCCCUGUUGGAGGGAAUAUUACACACGACUGCAAUUGCACAGCUGGCAAGUGGAUAUGGAAAUUUAAAUGUUGUGGGCCCACUGUUAACCAAGUCACACUGGAAGCAACUGCCACAGCCAAUUACACUGAGACAGAGGACUGUACUAAUAAAUGCCGUAAAAUCACAUACAAAACAAAAAUGUUUGUUUUGUCUGUGGAGG